GCCUGGCUGGCUUUGUGGGUAGAGCAUGUGACUCUUGAUCUCGAGGUCGUGAGUUCAAGCCCCAUGUUGGGCA
rnacentral:tRNA from 1 species